rnacentral:rRNA from 1 species
UACGGAAGAAGCAAGCGUUAUCCGGAAUUACUGGGCGUAAAGAGUUGCGUAGGCGGCAUGGUAAGUCAGCAGUGAAAGCGUGGGGCUCAACCCCAUAAACAUUGUUGAAACUGCCAAGCUAGAGAAUGAGAGAGGUAUCUGGAAUUCCCAGUGUAGGAGUGAAAUCCGUAGAUAUUGGGAGGAACACCGAUGGCGUAGGCAGGGUACUGGCUCAUUUCUGACGCUAAGGCACGAAAGCGUGGGGAGCAAACGGG